AACGACUCUCGACAACGGAUACCUCGGCUCUCGCAUCGAUGAAGAACAUAGCGAAAUGCGAUACUUGGUGUGAAUUGCAGAAUCCCGUGAACCAUCGAGUCUUUGAACGCAAGUUGCGCCCGAAGCCACUUGGCUGAGGGCACGCCUGCCUGGGUGUCACGU
rnacentral:rRNA from 1 species